UACGUAGGGUGCAAGCGUUAAUCGGAAUUACUGGGCGUAAAGCGUGCGCAGGCGGUUUUGUAAGUCUGUCGUGAAAAUCCCCGGGCUCAACCUGGGAAUUGCGAUGGAGACUGCAAGGCUAGAAUCUGGCAGAGGGGGGUAGAAUUCCACGUGUAGCAGUGAAAUGCGUAGAGAUGUGGAGGAACACCGAUGGCGAAGGCAGCCCCCUGGGUCAAGAUUGACGCUCAU
rnacentral:rRNA from 1 species